rnacentral:rRNA from 1 species
UGGAUCAGUGGCGAACGGGUGAGUAACACGUGAGCAACCUGCCCUGAACUCUGGGAUAAGCGCUGGAAACGGCGUCUAAUACUGGAUAUGAGCUGCGGAGGCAUCUUCGUGGUUGGAAAGAUUUUUCGGUUUGGGAUGGGCUCGCGGCCUAUCAGCUUGUUGGUGAGGUAAUGGCUCACCAAGGCGUCGACGGGUAGCCGGCCUGAGAGGGUGACCGGCCACACUGGGACUNAGACACGGCCCAGACUNCUACGGGAGGCAGCAGUGGGGAAUAUUGCACAAUGGGCGGAAGCCUGAUGCAGCAACGCCGCGUGAGGGAUGACGGCCUUCGGGUUGUAAACCUCUUUUAGCAGGGAAGAAGCGAAAGUGACGGUACCUGCAGAAAAAGCGCCGGCUAACUACGUGCCAGCAGCCGCGGUAAUACGUAGGGCGCAAGCGUUAUCCGGAAUUAUUGGGCGUAAAGAGCUCGUAGGCGGUUUGUCGCGUCUGCUGUGAAAACCCGAGGCUCAACCNCCAGCCUGCAGUGGGUACGGGCAGACUAGAGUGCGGUAGGGGAGAUUGGAAUUCCUGGUGUAGCGGUGGAAUGCGCAGAUAUCAGGAGGAACACCGAUGGCGAAGGCAGAUCUCUGGGCCGUAACUGACGCUGAGGAGCGAAAGGGUGGGGAGCAAACAGGCUUAGAUACCCUGGUAGUCCACCCCGUAAACGUUGGGAACUAGUUGUGGGGUCCAUUCCACGGAUUCCGUGACGCAGCUAACGCAUUAAGUUCCCCGCCUGGGGAGUACGGCCGCAAGGCUAAAACUCAAAGGAAUUGACGGGGACCCGCACAAGCGGCGGAGCAUGCGGAUUAAUUCGAUGCAACGCGAAGAACCUUACCAAGGCUUGACAUACACGAGAACGCUGCAGAAAUGUAGAACUCUUUGGACACUCGUGAACAGGUGGUGCAUGGUUGUCGUCAGCUCGUGUCGUGAGAUGUUGGGUUAAGUCCCGCAACGAGCGCAACCCUCGUUCUAUGUUGCCAGCACGUAAUGGUGGGAACUCAUGGGAUACUGCCGGGGUCAACUCGGAGGAAGGUGGGGAUGACGUCAAAUCAUCAUGCCCCUUAUGUCUUGGGCUUCACGCAUGCUACAAUGGCCGGUACAAAGGGCUGCAAUACCGCGAGGUGGAGCGAAUCCCAAAAAGCCGGUCCCAGUUCGGAUUGAGGUCUGCAACUCGACCUCAUGAAGUCGGAGUCGCUAGUAAUCGCAGAUCAGCAACGCUGCGGUGAAUACGUUCCCGGGUCUUGUACACACCGCCCGUCAAGUCAUGAAAGUCGGUAACACCUGAAGCCGGUGGCCCAACCCUUGUGGAGGGAGCCGUCGAAGGUGGGAUCGGUAAUUAGGACUAAGUCGUAACAAGGUAA